GUCAGUCUGGUCUCGAACUCUUGACCUCGUGAUCCACCCACCUCGGCCUCCCAAAGUGCUGGGAUUACAGGCAUGAGCCACCGCGCCCAGCCAUGAGUUGCACUUUUCGACCUUGGUUCUCAUCUCAUCCUUGGUUCAACCAUCUUGUCUUGCUCUUGAUUUUCCUGAAAUGGGAGAGUUCCCUGACCCCCCUCACAGAACAUGCAACAGGGGUGUGGCUUGUCUGUUCAGCUGCCUUACCUCCCUUAUAGGAGUGGGAGCAUGCAGACGGGCAGGUGCAAGAGCCAGGACAAGCACUUUUGGGCUCAGGCUCCAUGGUAGCAUCUAGGGGUGGGUGCCUGCAACUCCCAAAGCCCAGGUGGGUGUGUUACAGUGCUCUUUUAGCUCUGCUGUCUGCAGAUGGCUUAAGUGUUAACCAGCUCAGUGCCCUCUUGGUACCUGAGUCCUUGUUCAGUAUCCAGGACGAAUUAGGUCACAUGGACGAAUUGAAGGUUGGCAAAUGCAGGGGACUUUGUUGUCAGAUGGAGAUGGCUCUCAGCUGGAGGGAUGGGGAGCUGAAGAGGGGAUGAAGUAGGAAGAAUGAUCUUCACCUGGAGUUUGGCUGUCCUGCAGCCAGUCUCCUCUCCAACCAUCCCCAGAUGAACUCCUCUUGAUGUUCAGAUAUUCCUUCUUUUCUCUCCUUCUCUGCCAGGCCCACUUUUCUGCCUCUGCUCAUCUACUUGUGGAGCAUGGGAUUUGGGGUUUAUAUGGGUAUGAGAUAGUGGGGCAUGGUGGGCCAGAAGGCAACAUUUGGGUGCAAAAAGAGAAAUGCCUGUUUCUAUUUAGGGCCAUGGGUUUCCAGGCUUGAGGGUGGGGCCUUUGCCAGGGAACUGCCUUCUUCUACCCAGUAUUUCCCUGUCUCUUGUCCAUAUCAGUACCUCUCUCCUUAUCUGAGGUUAAGAUCAGGGGAGUCUUUAGCUCUGUAUCUUAGUUUAGUGUUGGGGUCUGGAUUUCUGGGGAACAAAUCUGCCAGAGGCUGGCACCCUGCCCUGAAUUCCAAAAAUUACCUGCCCCCAAUUUUCAGUGGGCCCUGCUCAUGUUUUGGCAUAAUUUGCAAUUCCACUUGGAGCACCUGGUGCCAGCUACUUAGCUGAAUCGCUAUGUGGAAGGCUGAACUCCUUGCACCUGUGCCUUCUCCAACCUCUCCUGUUAGCUUGGCCUGUCCCACUCUGAAGGGCAUGUCUAGUGCCAAGUCUCAGUCCCUUUCCUGCCUACACUGUCCUGCUCCCAACAAACCUCCACACCUCCUGAUAAAUCCUGGCACAAGAGAAGAAUGUAUGGGAAAGUGUCAGCCUCAGAACUUCUUGGGAAUUGAGAGUGAGGGAGUUGCUGGGGAGGAGGGCUGGUCCCAGAUCCUAAUGCCCACCUUGCUUCUCCUUGAGGAUUCUGGUUGAUAAAAGAUACACAUAUUGUUAAAUGAGGAUUGCAACAUUAGUUCUGUUUGACUUUCUGUAACAAUUAGAAGACUAGAGAAUAUAGCUGGGUUUCUGACCUCCCACUCAGAAUUAUAGAGAGCCAAGUCUUCCCUACAAGGUGGACUUAUCCACCCAGUCCCAGGCUGAGAAGCUGGAGAUCAGUCCUCCCUGCUCUGAGGUGGUCCCACCAAGGGGUUGACCCACAGAGACUGACCCAUUGCUCUGAAAUAAAGGCUAGUUCAAGAAGAAUCAGGAAAUGGGGGAGCAUGUAGGAGAAGUGAGUGACCUUGAGUUUUUACCCUGCCCAGUAGAGGAAUAGCCAGUGUGUCUGAUAACCAAAGUCAUUCUUCUCUCUUUGGAGUGGGAAAGGUAUAGGAAUGAGGUAGGUCCUGAAAAUUCCCACUCCAUCCCUUCCCCCAAAUGAAGAAGGUGUUGAUGGAAGCACCUUCCUUUCUGAGUUGUGGAGGAGAUGAUUCAGCUGAGCCAAAUGACAUGUGAACAAUAGAAACAGUUCUACCUCCCAUGAACUGUUGGCUUGCUGUCUUCUUCAUGAGUCAGUUUUAGCAGAGUGUGGCCAAGAAAAUCCCCAUGAUGGAGACUGGGUAAACAGUCAACCUCUGUGGGUCACCUCCCUUCCAUCCUCUACUCAGUGCAAGUCAAAGCUGCCCAUCACUGGGCACUGGGCAGUCAGGGGACUCCUGAUGACUGACUCAGAGCAGAGUGACGUAGUGACAAUCAGGCACAGAAAAUCAAGUUCCACAGAAGCCUGACAAAUGAGCGCUUUUCUCUGCUCUCAAAUCCUUUUCAGUGAGGAAGCUUUCUCCAGCAUUCAGGUGGCACCUAAUGCUCCAUCCUGAGACCACAGAGAUAACUAAGAUGUGCCAAAGUUUUUGAGGAGAAGGUGACAUCGAUGCUCUGUAUCUCAGUUCAGAGGCUAACUGUAUGUGUCACAAGUAGCAUCUGUGGAUAAGUGGUGGAGAACUUGGGAAAAGACAAACAUCUUGGGAAAAGAAAACCCUUCCCUUGCAGCCACACACCAGAGACUAUUCACAAGAGUCAUCUUCAGUAGUGGGCAAUUUCUCACACAUCUGCACAGUUUAUGGCUAACCUUGGAAAUAAGCAACUAGGCUGGCUGAGUUCCAGUUCAAGAGCAAUCAGGUAGGGCAUGCAGCCUCAAAGACAAUUUCCUUUAUGAUCCUUGUCUUGAUUCUUGAUGAAAUGGGAACUUUAAAAAAGCUACUAUAGGUGUAAGGAGAUCUGACUUCAUUUUUUACCUUUGAGAAGUUAUUUCCUGUAAUCAUCCAAAGCUUGCCUGGUAUCUCUCAUUCCUGGAUGCCAGUUUCAGCUUUAUGCAGUGGAGUGCUUCUUUCUACUUUCUGCCUCCUUCCUAUGGUGUAGUCUUCAAAAUGAAUCUCUGCUCUUCAGUGGUUUCUCUCGUCCCGUGGUUCUCACUCAAAGCGUGGUCCCUGGACCAGCAGCAUCAGCAUCACCUGAAAGUUUGCUAGAAAUGCAAAUUCUCAAGCCAACCCAAGACCUACUGAAUCAGAAACUCUCGGGGUAGAGUUCAAUAAUCUGUGUUAACAAGCCCUCCAGGGGGAUUCCAAUGCAUGCUAAAUUUGAAAGCCACUCUUCUGGGGCAAAUGAUCCUUUUGAUUAACUCCUACCACUGAUAUGCUGGGCCAGAGACCAAAUGAUGAUCCAAUUCUGUUAAAUAUUUAAUCAAUAAACAAUUAAUAUUUAAGUUAUUUUUGGAGGCUGCUCUGAUCACUGGAAUCCAUGGCUAAAGCCAAGUUGUCUGAAAACUUAUUUGUCACAAGCCCUCACAGUUACAUUUUAUCUUCUUCAUGUACUCUAGAUUCUAUAAAGUAAUUUGGUAUCCUUGGCAUAGUUUUCUUUGUCAAAUAACUCUCUGCUGCUAUAAUAAGAUCUACUGAGAGAGGCAUCAAAUGCUUUGUUAACGAUCUAUUCCAUUCACACUAAUGAAACCUCCAUUGUCCACCAAAAUUGGAAUGGUGUCAAAGAGUCAUCAAGUUUUCCUGAAAGGUUUUUUUGUUCCCCUUACGUGCCACCCAGGGCUUACCUAUUUAUACCCUAUGAGCUCAGUUUGAUUAGCUUUCAAUGCGUUGUCUCACAAGUGAUAUUAGAUGAAUGAAAGGGUUGUUUCCUUUAGGCUCCAUCAUCAAUGAGUUUCUUCCUGUGUUAGAGACCUCAAGUAACUUUAAUGUGUCUUCAGGCAAAAGAUGUCAGGAAAAACCUGGCAGGAAGGGGAAAACUGUGACUUGUCCCACACUUUUGUGUAUCUUCCUACCUAUACCUUCUGGUUCCUGACUUGGCUUGACUUGGAAUUGCACUCCUUUUCCAAAUGAAAACUGGUUAUUAAAGCCCUUUUGCAUGAAUUUCUGUUAGCAGCCCACUUCCCAGGGUUGUCUCUCUCUCUCUGCCUCCAAAUCUCAGAUAAAAUCUGAUACCAUACUCACCUCAUGAUUCUAUUUCAGCCAAAUUUGAUUAUUCUGGCUUAGCUUUCUCAAACUUCAGUGUAUAUCUGAAUCAACUGGAGGCCUUGCUACUACACAGAUUGCUGGGCUCCACUCCCAGAGUUUCUAAUUCAGUAGAUGUUAGAUGGGCCCAAGAAUUUGCAUUUCUAAAAAGUUCACAGGUCAGGCUAAUGCUGCUGGUCCAAGGACCACAAUUUGAGAACCCCUGCUGUACACUGGCACACGGCAAUACCUGCAUUCUUUCUGAUUAUUGCAGUCCUGAUGCCCUUCCGUUCUUAUUGCAGUGUUUCAUGUCUUCCUCUGUUUCAUUCAUUCCCUUUAGAGCAUCGUAUUUCUUGCAGGUUGCCAGGCAACUGUGAUCUAUUGCUUGGGCAAGAAAAGGUAAUACAAACCUCACCAUUUUCCCAUAACUUUUAUUUGGUACAGUGGAGUGACCUGGCUCCAGGAAAACAACUUACUUCUUUGCUAAAAGUAAAGUCCUUGGAGGGUGUUAAAGCCACACAGUAUCUUUUAGAAACUUAAUGUAACCCAUGGUAUUUACUGAUAGACACCCAGACAUAUGUAAUAGGAUUAUAGAUCAGCCUCGUUUAAGAUAAAGUUUGCUGGGGGAGAUCAAAAUUACUCCCUGUGGGACCUAAAUUAGGUACAAAGCAAUUAACUUUAAGCAACCAAAAAAUUGGUUCUAUAAAAAUUCCAUUUCAAAUCAGCUCUAAACUACAAGCUCAUUACCAGGUACCUUCACUACAUAAGAGACAAACAAGUCUCUGGAGAUGGAAAAUGCGAACUAAAUUUUGAGACACCUCAUUGAAUAUAAAAAUUGAUGAAGUCUUAGAUCUAAUCUCUUAUAAGGGUCAGCUAUUUCUACAGACUUUCUGACCUUUCGAAUCACUUCCACACCCAGAAAGACAAAUCUUCUCAUUCCUGAAAACAGAUACGUUUAUGUUUCAAUUCCAUUGAUGGUUCAGUUGGUGCAAUAUUAAAUACACUUGAUUUCAUUCCAUUUCUUUUUGAGUGUGAGAAUUUUAAACAACUUUUAUUGAGAGCCAACACAUCAGCUCAAUAGACCUUUAUUUUCACAAUGUGUUUCUUUGCUUGGCAUAUGGUAAGAACUUUAUAAGUGUUUGUCAAUUAAACAUUAAUAGAUAAUUAAUUGUUGAAUGAAUAAAUUAAUGAAAGUUGUUGACUUAAUAUAUGAUUAUGAAAUUAAUGUAAGUGCUUUAAAAAUUAGAAAAUACAGAAAAAUAAAAAGAAAUAAAAUAGUCAUCCAUAAUCUCACAACCUGAAGCUAACUACUAUUAAUUUUUGAAACAUUUUUCCCAUCACAUAUGCCUAUGUGUGUAUGUAGGUAUAUAUAAUUAUUACCAUAUUGUAUAUAAAAUGUGACAUUUUGUGAAAUUUACUUUUAUACUAGAAAUUUGUAGCAACAUAGAUGGAGCUGGAGGCCAUUACUCUAAGAGACUUAAUACAAGAACAGAAAACCAAAUACUGCAUGUUCUCACUUAUAAGUGAAAGCUAAACAUUGAGUGCACAUGAACAUAAAGAAGGGAACAACAGACACUGGGAAUGGGACCGUUAGUUGGGGGAGGGAGGAAGGGGGUCAUAGACUGGAGAACCACCUAUGGUUACUAUGCUUACUACCGGGGUAAUGGGAUAGUCGAGACCCCAAGCCUCACCAUCAUGCUAUUUAUCCAUGUAACAAACCUGCAUGGAUAUCCUUUAAUCUACAAUAAAAAUGGAAAAAAUUUUUAAGUCACAUUUUGUUAAUUUACUUUUUUUUUUUUUUUUUUUUUUUGAGGCAGAGAUUUGCUAUUGUUGCCCAGACUGGAGUGCAAUGGCACAAUCUUGGGUCACUGCAACCUUUGCCUCCUGGGUUCAAGCAAUUCUCCUGCCUCAGCCUCCCAAGUAGCUGGGAUUACAGGUGCCCACUACCAUGCCCAGCUAAUUUUUGUAUUUUUAGUAGAGAUGGGGCUUCACCAUGAUGACCAGGCUGGUCUCAAACUCUUGACCUCAGGCGAUCCACCCACCUCGGCCUCCCAAAGUGCUGGGAUUACAGGCGUGAGCCACCAUGCCCAGCCUUGUUAAUUUACUUUGAUAAUGAAAAUUUCCUGAAAUCAUUAGCAAUUCACUGAAAACAUCAUUUUGAUGGUCAUGUAAUAUUCCAGUGAAUGAAUAUUCUCAAUUUAAUACUUCUACUAUUACUGGAUAUUAGGGUAUAUCUAAUAUUAUUUCUAUGUGCCUAGAUAAAUAUGUUUCUAGAAAAAUAUUUUAUGAUUAGAAUUUCUUAAAAUAAAAUCAUUGGAUGAAAAGAUAGAAAUAUUUUUAAAGCUCUUGAUACCUAUUGCCAAAUUGUUUUUCAGAAAGGUUGUACCUGCCUACAAGAUUAUCAACACCAUGUGAGAACAUCCACUUUGCUGAACUCUUUCUCACAUAUCACCUUUAGAGAUGUUACAUGGUGACCAACUGUCAUUAACUUUGGAUGUUUUUCCUGGAGGAGGAGAAUGUGCAGGAAUGAGAAGAAAAUACCAUCAGAAUCAUGUGGACCCACAUUCAUCCCUUACUUCACCCCUUCUGGGAAGGAACCCAGCAGGCUCAAAGAUAUGGAAAAUGCCACCAGAAAAACAGUACCUGGGACAGAGGGUAGAGAUUCCUAUGGCAGGAAUGAGACUACUUUUAAUCUUUCUUCCGUCAUCUCAGCUUUUAAAUUUCUCCCUAGAGAACAUUUGGGUAGUAAGAUUCAGAGGUGCAUGUUAGGGUGUCAGGUGCACCCUGUGUCCUGGAAGUAGAUGGUACAGGCUCCUUUGUCUGGAGGCAAAGCGGGGCCAGAGUGGGCAGGGUCAGUUUCAAGGCUUUGGGAAAGCAGUGGUCUGGCAGUACUCUUCUGGCUCUUGGAAGCAGGAAUGCAAACUUGAUUCAGGCUGGGAGCAAACACCUGUUUCAUCUUUCAGGAAUAUCAGGAGUAUAGCAGCAGGUGACAGGGUACUUUGCAGAACCAGCAGAGGGGUGUCACCUCACACCCCAGGGAGCCAUAGUGUCCCAGUGUGGAGGCAGAAAGGUAGAAAGGGGUCAUUGGAGUAGCUUAGAGUAAUCUUGUGAGCUUUAGGCUUAAAUCAGCUGACUGAGCAGGGUCUUCUCUUCCACUGUUCAGGAUGAGGCUAUGCCUGGGGUCAAAAAGAAAAAGCCUCCAACUAUUUUACAUUGGCAGCUAUGAGGAUGGAAAAAAUAGUAGUGAUGGUGUUUGUUUUUUCAUUAACAGGUUAACCUGACCAUUGUGGGAAUGUCAUUAAAUAUUUUUCUAAGAUAUAAUUUUUACUGACUAAUGCUUGUGCCAUUACUUAAACCAUUACCUUAAAUUGUUUUCUAAUAUAAAUAAUUCUGAGAUGAGCACCUAUGAAUAUAUAUUUUCUCCCAUCACUGAAGUGAGAUUGCUGAAUCAAACGAUGGAAGGUUUUGAAGACUCUGGAUACAGUUUUCUAAGUUCCUUUCUAGAAAAUUGUGUUAACAAACGCUCCCAAGAGCAAGGCAGAAGAAGACUGAUAAAUUUGUUCUUGUGACUUUCUCAGGAUGUGGACUUUGGAGAAGUAAUACCUGCUGAUCCUGGACUUCUGAGAAUGGGUGUUUAUGGGAUAAGAUGGGAAGGUUUUCCAGCCUCCUUUAGGGAGGUCAUUACCUUCAAAUGAAAAAUUGAGGUCACACUAGAUAUACAUACACAUAGAAAGUACAAUGAGGAAAUGAACUUCAAGUAGGAAAUCAAGCAGGAAAUAAGUCAAUGAUGGACUAAUCUCUCAAAGUAAGUUGUUCUGGGAGCUCUGAGAGAAGGCAUAAGGGGUGUGUAUCCAGCACCUGAUGCCAAGACAAGCUUUGCUCAGAUGAAGACAACACACAGCCUUUCCACUCCUUUUGGGUUGAUUGUGUCCCAUUUCUUCAUUAUUCUUUUCUUCAUUUAACAUUAAUUGAGCACAUGGUGUCAAGCACUGUAAAACAAAAGGGGGUGCAAAAGUGAGGAGUUCUCAGUUCAGUGUGUCUUUGAGUAAAGACGGGACUAGGAGUAGAUCCCAGAUGUGCUAACAACAGUUCCAGUAUGAUACCGUAUCUCUGGAGAUCAAAGCAAUUAUCCCAGCAUAAAUUUAGGAAAGACUUCUGAGAUGAGGACACUUGAAAGCAGUGGAGGCCAAAUCAUCUUUGAUCACAAGGAGAAAAAGAGAGAGGGCAUUCCAGAAAAGCACAUGCUAAAGCAUGGAGAAGUCAAUGAGUCCCACAUGUUUGUGAUUGUGGCAACAUAGAUCAUGGUAAAGGUGGGGGCAAGAGGACAAAAAAGGUCAGAGGCACAGUGACAAGAAGUGAGGCUGUAAAAUAAGUCAGUUUCUAUUGCAAAGUCUUUGUAUUCCAUUCAAAGGGCUUCAGCCUGUCCUACAGGAAUGAGGAAGCCAGGGAAUGUCUUAAUAGAUGCCAUUUAUAUAAACCCAUAUUUCUGGUAUAACUGGUGGCAGAGGAAAUGGGCUGGAAAAGAUGAGAGCCUGGAAUGGGAAAUGACUAAAGUCAUGACAUAAAGACAUCGACAUGCAUAGAUUUUGUGGUUAAACACAUUUUUUAAACAGAGGCAGAAAGAAGAAAGUGUAUGGCAGAAAUGACCAGAGACCGCAGAUGAGCUCAUGGUGGACAGUGAUGAAGUUUGAAGCCAGGGUAGCUGUCAUUGCAGAGAAUGAAACAUGGCCAAGAACUUCCUAAAUAUUAGACUAAUGUCAUUAUUUUUUCCUUACCUAUGACAGCUGAUGAGCCAGUGUGAUCUAUGAUCUUUCUGGGUAUUUUAUUAAGUUUUCAUCACUGUGCUGCCUUUGCAAUCCACUAGCCUCAGGGAACAUUUGAGACUUGAAUUUGAAAAUGACAUUCACAAAAUUAGAUAUUCUUCAUGUGUGUGUGGUGUGUGUGUGUGUGUGUGUGUGUGUGUGUGUGUGUGUGUCCUUUUUUUUUCUUUUCCUAGCUCCAAACUGUCUUCAAAGGGUUAUAAAGAAUGGGGUCUUUGAGUCCUUUAACCUUUAGCUAUGAGAUAGCUAAUUUUUGUUCCCCAAGCAAACAUGUCAGAAAUGACUCCCUGUUUCUUUAUUAUUUGCAAAUAUAUGUUCUUUUAUUCCACCCCCUUUCCCCUUGGGAAUGAAGGGCCUCCUUGGAUGGGCCUUAGGCCCAGGCUCUCAGAAAGUUAAGAAGGCUUUGGAGGGUGUUCUGAGGGCAGAUAAAUGGACAAAAUAAUGGUGCAAGGAGACCGUGUUGGAGAAAAUUCAGUUAGGCAAGAAGCACCGAGGAGUUCGACCCGGGAGGAAGUCCAGUGAGAGCUCUGGCAAUGUGAAACCAGGAAGUGACCUUUAGUUAAUCAAGUACCGAAGAUGAGAGGGCAGACAUAAGACUCAGACAAAAAAAAAGUGAUAAAAAUCAUUCUGAAAAGGGAAAUUCUAGUUCUUUGUUCUCUCUUCUUAUCAUAUAAUUUCUCAGGCUCUCUCUGUAUCGCCGGAGGAACAUGAAAAAUUUAAUUAAUGACUCGAACAUUUUCAUGUAGGCAGAGGUUUGGUUUCCUGUAGAUAAGACAUCUGGUUAAUCAAGUGAACUUUCUCCUUUUCAUCCGUGUUAUGACACUUGUAUAUUAUGUGGCCACAUGGUAUUUACUAGCUCACUUCCAUCUCUAUAAUUUGCUUUGCUCCGUGUUAUUUGAUCUGGACCAGCAACUUUAAGACAUCAUGUCUACCUCAUCAGCUAUGUCUGCUCCCAACCAAAACCAACUGUGGGCCUCUGACACCUUCAUAUUGUUCGUAGCUUGAGACUCUAGCCCCUCCCUCUAGCCAGCCUUAUGCUUUCUUCCUGCUUUAAAUUCUUGCUUUCAACCUUGCCCACAAUUGGGAUUUUGCUGUAGGUCACACUAAGACCACAACUCAUGAUGUGCUGUUCAAUGAGCAGAGUUUCCUGUGGUCUCCCAGAUGACACUUGAGCAUGUCUCACCAUGCCAUGGAUGAUUUCCCAAAUCCAAGUCGGGGACAUUUCUAGAACCUCAUGACAUAGGCAGACCCCCUACUGCUGGCUCUUCCAAUUGUAAACAUGUAAGUCAUGCCACAACCCACUUAGCAAAUAUCUCAGUGGCCUCAGGGCUGUGCCCUUGAAUGGAUUACACUGCUCUUGGAUGUUCCAUAGGAUAAAAAAAUCACAAGAGAAAAAGAAAAAGUCUGGAGACUUGGAGAACAAAAUGCCAUAGAAACAAGUCUCUUCACAUCAGGAGCUCUAUAGCUGAAAUCUGCUUCCUUCAACUCCCAACCCAAUGCCCUAUCCUCAGCUGCCAAUCCAGCAAGAACACAUUUGUACAAAUGUGAUGUGGGCUCACUCCUUGGGUGGAACUUGCUAGAAAUCUCAAGCAGUGAACAGUUUCUGAAAGCUUAAGAAUACCCAUUUUAACUUUACCUCAAAAAGGUUAAAUGAUAGAGUAACACGGACAGAGAACAGACUCUAGGAAAUGUGCAAGAAGUAAGCUCUCUUUCUGUUUUAUUCAGAUAUGAGUUUUCAUUUCACCAGCCCCCAGUGGAUCUGAUCCAAUGACCUAGAGAUUCAUGAGGCUGAAAUUACCUUGGUGAACAACAUGAUCUUUCUAGGAUUCCAGGCAUUCCUGGUACUAAAAAUCCUCCUAAGCUAUUGACAAUUUUUUUUUAAUUGUGGGUAAAAUACACACAACAUACAACUCAACAAUUUAACUAUUUUUAAAUAUACAGUUCUGUGGCAUUAAGUAAUUUCACACUAUUGUGUGACCAUCACUGUCAUUCAUUUCCAGAACUUUUCUAUCUUCCCUCUAAUUCUCCAUUUCCUUCUCACCUCUCAGCCCCUGCCCACCAUCCUGCUUUCUGUCUCUAUCAGUUUGACUACUCUGGGUACCUCACAGAAAUGGAAUCAUAUAGAAUUUGUCCUUUUGUGACUGGUUGAUUUCACUGAUAAUUCUUAACUAUUAUAACAUUUUCCUCAGUCAACUUGUUUUUAUGUCACAUAGAUCCAGAUAUACUCUUGGUGUUACUGAGGGUCCAAACAUCCCUUUUCAACAAUGUAGUACAUCAGUAAAUAAUCAAGUAUUUAUUGAAUUCCUACUAUAUGUUUAGCCAUAAAAAAAUAAGAAUUUUGAAGAAUAGUCAUUAUCCCUCCCCUUAAGAAAAUUCUAAUUUUGUAGAUGUGGAGGCAAAGUGAAUGCAAUAAAAUAGUAGUAAACAGCAUAUAUGCACAUGUAUGCAGACAAACACACACCUAUUCACAUGUAGACAUCUGACCUCAUUACUUUUAUGUGGUCAUGAUGAUGAUACAGAAUUAUCUCUGUACAGGCGAUACAGAGAUAAUUCUAAAAAAUCUAAUCUAUCUUGGGUAAGUCCAAGAGCAUCUUGGGACACAAUACUUAGCAAAUUGGCUUUUGGGAAUUCUUUACUUGGGUCAGUGGUUUGGGGGAAACCUUUCACUUAUUUUGUAGGAGGUUAGUGGUCUCGCUGUAUUAUCCAAGUUGGUCUUAAACUCCUGGCCUCAAGCAAUCCUCCCACCUCAGCCUCCCAAAGCACUGGGAUUACAGGCAUGAACCAUCAUGCCUGGAAAAUUUUCAUUAAAAAAAAUCUAAAUAAAUAUUAACUAUCCAGGGAUUUUUUUUGAAACAAAUGGGAAGUAGGAACUUAGCUCACACAUCUCUCUCUCGAUGUGCCUAUUCACUUUAGAUAUUUCACUGAAUCCUGCUAAAAAGCAGUCAGCUAUUUGCCAUCUGUACAGAACAGCUGCAAUUUCCUUCCUAUCCAAGCACAACAUUUUAUUAUAGAGAAAUUGGCAUAUUGUUUUUGCCAUGUGCUUUUUACAUAUUCCUCCCCAUGGCUAGACUAAUCAGGGAAGAAAUAUCUUCAUGUCCCAGCUCCUAGCUAGGUCAGGUGAAUACAAGUGACAUCAUGUGUAUCCUCUUCACCAAGUUAGCAUUAAGUUGCCUUGCCAAACCCUUGAAGCUUCUUAUGUGAGACAUCUGUGCCCAAUGUUAUUUAUGAAUAGGAGCAAAAUGUAUAAAUAUCCAUGGGACUUCCUGUUAAAUGUACCACAUUGAAUGCAAAUAUUUAUCUCUGCUGCUUCUGAAACUUUAUUAAAAUGAGAGUAGAAAAAAUAGAAGGAUACAAAUCAACAAGGAGGAAGAGAACAAGAAAGAUGAUCCCACCAAAUAAGAAAUGCCAACAAAAUUUUGGAAUCUGGAAAUAGACGAAUGACUGGUAAUUAUUUAUCAGAGCCCAGAAAGAAUAUUGAGGAGGGAGGCACAAGAAAUGAGUUAAUGUCAAUUUCAGAACCCUGUAAACAUUUAGAAAUUUGGAGGCAGUAGGUACUCUGAAGUUAGAGGAAGUAUGGGGCUUAAAAUAGGAUUCGUUAAAAAAUCUGUGUAAAGAAGAGUUAGAUUUCCAAUCCUCUUUCUAUCUCUGACCACCAGUCAAUUAACCCUUCUUCACCUAGGCAGGAGAAUGGAGGCUCUUCUUCGGGGAAAUUUAACCUGGAAGGCUCUACUUGAGCACCUAGUCACGGAAGAUAGUGGGGGAAAUGCCAGGCUGGAAAUAGGGACAAUUAAGUGACAAUUAUGGUGAGCCCCCUGGUUCCCAGAAUACUCACUGCCAAUCUUAUACUCCCCCAGAAAAUGAUUAGAAGAUUGCUCCUUGUAGAAAGAGAUACAUGGGCCCAGCAUGCUUGCAGAUACUGGUAUGUGUGGUUCUCUCAUAAAAUGACUGUAUCUAUCUUGUCACUCUAUGAUAAAGCCAGCUGAACCAAAAAUCCCCAACUCCCACCCUAUAAACAUUCUUAGAGAUCUUAAAUCCAUUUUUACUCUCUGUCUCUCCUCAGAAUUUGUUUUAUUAUACACACAGUAUUAUGUUUAUUUUAAGUAAUCUGAAAAUUAUAUAAAAUCAUGAAGAAGAAAAUAUCAACUGUAUUUCCAUCUUUUAUAAACAAUAAUGGUUACAUAUAUCAUCUAGGUGUUUUCUAUAUAUGUAUAUUUCAUAAAUAUUUUCAAUAGAUCUCUAUUUUGAUACAAUCUUCUAUCACAUUUUUUGACUUAAUAAUGUAUCAUUAACAUCUUUACUUGUCACUAAAUAUAUUGCAAUAACAUUUUUCCCUAUAGCUGAAGCGUAUUUCUUAGGUGGGUAUAACUAUAAUUUAUCUUGUUAGUCCCUUGAUGUUAGACAUUUGUAUUGUGUCCAUUCUUCAGUAUCCUAAACAACACUGAAAUAAACAUAGAUCUCUGCAAACAUGAUUAUUUCUUUAAGAUUAUUAGAAGUAGAAUUGCUGGCUCCAAGGGCACACUAUUUUUCAAAGCUUCACUGAAUUUAGCUUAAUUGUUCUCCUGAACAUCUUUCUCAAUUUAUAGUUCUAUCAGCAAUGUAUGAGAGUAUCCUUUUCCCAUCCUUGCCAAUAUUUGGAAUCAUCACUAAAGAACACCCCCAAAAAACAGACAAACAAAAAUCCUUAACAAUUUGAUGCUAAAUAUGACAUCCUAUUGUUUACAUGUAUACUUUAUCACUAUUGUAACAUUUUGAAAUGUUGCUAACUACUGAUAUUUUGAAAAUUGGUUAUCUAUAGCAUUUAUUUAUUUUUAUUGGGACAGUUGUCCUUUCUUAUUGAUGUCUUCAUGACUUUUAGAUAUGUAAACAUGGACCAUUAUUGUAUCAUAUAUAAGAAAUAUUUUCUCUGUUUGGUAAUUUUUCUUUUUAACUUUGUUUCUGGUUCUAGUCUUAUUUUUAGUGACUCACUCUUGAAUAUAAAGAGAGAACCAAGAAUCAUCAGACAUGUGGAGAAAUGAUGUAACAUGAAAAGUAAUAUCAAAACAAAGAAACAAAAAAAGGAAGAAAUUGAGAAAUGCAAUGGACUGAAUGUUUAUCUCUCCCCAAAUUCAUAUGUCAAAAUCCUAACCCCAAUAUGAUGGUGUUAGGAGGCGGGGCCUUUGGGAAGUAAUUAGAUCAUGAGGGUAGAUCCUUCAUAAGUGGAAUUAGUGCCCUUAUAAAAGAAACCCCAGAGAGCUCUCUCCUCCUUUUUCUGCUAUGUGAGGAUACAAGAAGAUGGCAUUCUCCAACCCAGAAGAGGGUUCUUGCCAGAACCUGGCCAUGCUGACAGAUUGAUCUAGGACUUUCACCUCCAGAACUAUGAGAAAUUAAUUUCUGUUGUUUGUAAGCCACUUAGUGUAUGCUACUUUGCUAUAGCAGCCUGAACAAAGACAGAAAGAAACUAAGAAGAUGAAAGACAGGAAUAAAAUCUCAUGAAAUUAUGAAAUUAUGGGUCUCAGAGUUAAAAGAUAGUGUAUUAAUGAAGAAAGAGAUGCUAUAAAAAACAGAGAAUAUGAUAUAGAGAAGAUAAGAACAUGAAAAAUUCUAUACCGUACAUUCAAGAGAGCAGUUGAAAGAUUAUGCUAAUAAAAGCAUACCAGAAAGCGGAAGAAAAAGAAAAAUAGAAGAGAAAAAGCAGAAAAUUUAACUAAUAGGAGUUCCAGAAAGAGAGAACAGAGAAGGCAGAGGGGAGUUAAUUAUCAAAGAAACACACACACACAGAAAUUUCAUGAGAUUGAAAGGCUUUGCCAAGAACUCUGACAUAAGAAGCACACCUGUUUUUUGAUUAAGUACAUAUUAUCAGCUUUAAGACAACAGUCAGUAGAUAAGUAAUUGCUUUGCAAUGGAAAAAAUAUCACUUUAGGCUAACGCCUGUUGAACCAACUACACUACUCCAGAGGCUGAGACAAGACGAUUGCUUGAGUCCAGGAGUUCGAGGCUACAGUUAGCCAUGAAAGUGCCACUGCACUCUAGCUGGGUGACACAGUAAGACCCUAUCUCUAAAUAAAUAAAAAUAAAUCACUUGGUUUUUCUUAACUAGAUUAUGAAACUCUGUGUCUGGAAGCUGUGGAGUUAGGGGCUCAGAAGAUAGGACAAUGUUCUUCAUUCAUUGCCUUCAUCUAUAUCAAACAUUUCCUAUUCUCUCUUUCUUCUCACAUUGAGCCCCACCUUCAUCCUAACUAAUCCAAUCAUUGUAUCUGAAGAACUAUGUUUCUUACCAGUCGUGAUAAAAAACAAUGCUCCACAAGUUUAAAACAAAGACAACAUGUGAUUGGAAAAAAUGAUGAAUUUCUUUUUCUUCCUCUUUGUUUUGUUUUCAUAGAUUACUAUUAAUAUAGAAAGCAAGGCUGGGCACCAUGGUUUAUGCCUAUAAUCCCAACACUUUGAGAGGCCAAGGCAGGCAGAUCGCUUGAGCCUAAGAGUUCGAGACCAGCCUGAGCAACAUGGCGAAACUCAGUGUCUACAAAAAAUUAGCUGGGCAUGGUGGCACGCACCAGUAGUCCCAGCUACUUGGGAGGUUGAGGUGGGAGGAUCACCUGAGCCUAGGAGGUUGAGGCUUCAAUGAACCAUGAUCUCACAGAGUGCAGCCUGGGUGACAAAGCAGGACUUUGUCUCAAAAAAAACAUAUAUAUAUAUAUAUAUAUAUAUAUAAACUAUAUUUUAAUGUUACGAGCAAAUAAUGUGCAUUCUUUUUACCCUAGGGAUAUAAAAAAGUGUAAAAUAAGAGAAGCGAGUGAUUAGCCAAGGGGAGUAGGUUUGUGUACAUUUUUCAAGAUAAAUGGAAUGCUGGUACACUAAAUAGUAUCUACAAACUAUUGUAAACUGAAAUGUUUAUAGUAUAAUUUGUAAGAUUAAGCAAACAUUAGUUGAAUACAAAAAUAGCAAACAACAAUUAGAACUGCUUUGAGAAAUCUACUGCCAAUAAAGCUUUUUUUUUUAAGUCUGUGGAAUGGCAGAUUGAUAAUGGUUUUAUUUAGUGAGGACAUAUCAACCAUGCUAUGCCAUUUUCCUUAGAAAAACCCAUAUCUGCUGAAGCUUAUUAACUCAUUCAAUCAUUGUGUAUCACCUAAUAAUAGACAAACUGAUUUGAAAGAAACUUGAUGUAAUUAUGGCAAUUUUUCUAGAUCAAAAAAUAGAAAAAAUCGGCGGGGCACGGUGUCUCACACCUGUAAUCCCAGCACUUUGGGAGACUGAGGCAGGAGGAUCACUUGAGGCCAGGAGUUCGUGAACAGCCUGGCUGACAUGGUGAAACCCCGUCUCUACUAAAAAUACAAAAAUUAGCCAGAUGUGGUGGCACGUGCCUGUAAUCUCAGCUACUCUGGAGGCUGAGGUAGGAAAAUCACUUGAACACGGGAGGCGGAGGCUGCAGUGAGCUGAGAUUGUGCCACUGUAUUCCAACCUGUCAAAAAAAAAAAAAAAACCCAAAAGAAAUAGUCACUUAAUGACACUUUACAUGUCUAAUAAACAAUAAGACUUAGCUAAUAUUGCAGACACAUUUCUUUAAAUCUAAAGCACUAAAUGGAAUCACCACUGUAUUGUUUGAGUAUAUCAAUAGAUCAUUAAAAAACUGCUGGUAUGCACAUUUGGCCUUUAUCAUUGAAGAUCAAUAAAACCGCUGAAAUGGCUUUCUUUCUUCUUUUUUUUGACCUUUUUAGCCAGACUGUAAUUGGGCUUGUCACCUGACUCUCAGGUGAAAAUAAUCAUAAAUCAGAUUCAUCAAAUAAUGUUAAAGAAUAGCUCACACCAACAGAGCUAGGAAAACCAGUCCCUGCCAGUCACCAUCCAGCUCCUUGGGAAUUUGAGGGCUGGUUAUCUCAGAGAUGUUAUAUCAACUAUUCUUUGCUUUUGUCCCCCAUGGAGCCAGACCCGAUAAUGCUUUGAAAGAAGUGCAGAGAACACAGAAAAGAGUCAGUAGAAAGGAGAUUACAGGGUGAGGGGAAAAGAAUACAAGCAGCUUGUGUCUGUUAAAACAAAUCACCCAAGUGAGUCAUCUCUCCUGAAUCACUUCUCCCUUCUGGGAUGAGGCUCUGUGAGUACCUGGCUCCAGAACCCAGAGAGGAUUUACAGCCAGGCAAAUACUAACUGAGGCUAUGUUGGAACCUGUGUCACCCAAUCUCCUAAUUACAGGUGUCUGUGGUUAAAAUUUGGAGCUCACCAAUUUGGAAGAUGUUAUGAGUCUAAGUUCUGUAAUAGCUGAGUCAGGUUUGAUACCAGGCAGCCCUACCACCUAAACACAUUAUAUUCUGAAUUCAAAUGGACCCCAUUUACUUUCCCCAUGCCAACACCUUUUCCCCAGCCCCACCCUACUGCUACCUCCUGAUGACUUCUGUCUUCUCUUCCUGCCCUCUAUUUGGCCUAGUGAAGGGAGCAUAGGUCUGUAUACAUUGUUAGCAUUCCUUUAAGAAGCAAAUCCUGAAAACAAGAAGAAAUAAAGGGGUAUGUCUAUUUUCUUUAAACAUUUGGAUUGAGUAAAAGGGAAGCAAAGUUCUUAAGUUAUUAUAAACUUAAAAUAUUUGAACUCUGUGCUGGAUGCUUUACUUUUACAAUAUAUUUAAUUAAAACAACCAUACUUCAUAGCACGAAUGCUAGCCCGGAAAACUGAGACUAAGGUAGGUUGAGCUGUGGCCCAAAGUCACAAAGCCCACUUGUGAGUGAGAAGGAAAUUGUGAAUCCAGGUCUGCCUGCCUGAAAAGCUGGCCCACACAAUCCCAGACUCUGAGCUUUAACAAACAUGUGGCUGAUGAGAGCCAUGAGGACAAAUUGCGUGGCUAUUAUUAUGCACUGUGCACAAUAAAUGAGGUAAUGCAUUUGAAAGGGCUGUGUAACUAUAAAGUACUCUACAAAUGUUAUUACCAUUAUUAUGGUUAUAUUUAUUACCUUCUUUGCUGGGGGUGAGACUGCACACAUUAUAGAAUAGAUGACUAUUCUGAAUCACCAGUCCCCAGUGACGCACAGUUAAGGUUGUGGUGAGCCACCUCUCAGCAGAACAGAGAUACACUCCACAGUGCACAGUACAAUUUCUUGAAGGUAAGUGUGAGCUUUGUGUAAAUCAGCGGUCCUCAACCUUUUUUGCACCAGGAACCAGUUUUGUGGCAGACAAUUUUUCCCUGGUGGGGCUGGUGAGGGAUGGUUUUGGAUGAAACUGUUUUCACCUCAGAUCAUCAGUCACUAGUUAGACUCUCUUAAGGAGUGUGCAACCUAGAUCCCUCACGUGUGCAGUUCAUAAUAGGGUCCAUGCUCCUAUGAGAAUCUAAUGCCUCCACUGAUCUGACAAGAGGCAGAGCUCAGGCAGUAAUGCUCUUGCUAGCCCGCAGUUCACCUCCUGGUGUGCAGCUGGGUUCCUAACAGACCACAGACAGGUACUAGUCCACUAGCCUGGUGGUUGGGAACCCCGAUGUAAACCACAAUACUUAUCUUUAUCUCUUGCAUCUUUGAUUUUCUCUUCUGUCUCUUAGUUACAGGAGGGCCAGUGAAUUUGAUUCAUAGUCUAGAGUAAUUCAUCAGCUUGAGGGCUGAGUGCCAUCAAAGUAUAUGAUAGUUUAUGGUAAAAUAUUAUUUUAAAAGUUUAAUAUUUUUAAUCUAAAAGCAGCUUUUAAGUAUCAUUAAGAAAAAUGAAACCAUCUUAAUAGAUAUAUGAUUGGAUAAAUCAGUGUGGUGCUAUAUACUAUGAAAUGCAUAUGUGCAGACACCAAAAAUUAUUCAGGAUUUAUUGACAAGUGGAAAAAAUCUAAUUGCAAAAUUAAAAGUGUAGUAUGAUUUUGUUAUCAUACUUUACGAAUGUGAGUCUACAAAUAUGUUAAAAAAGGUGACUGGAAAGAUGCACAGCACAUUUUUAGGUAUGGUUACCUUAGGAAGGGAGUAGAAAUACAGGGAGAGAAAAGAAAUACAACCUUUUCACUAUAUUUCUGUAUGUUUGAGUCAUGCACAAGAUCAAUAAGUGUAUUAUUUGUAAAAUAAAAUAGCAGUGAAUUAAGUCGUACUGUGAUUAGUUUUCAAAAAUCUAAUUAAAAUAGGUGCUGUUUUAUUGUGAAAAUUGGCAAAAUAUUUGCAAACAGAAGGAACUAUAUUAUAAAAGAAACAAUUUUGUUUAAAAAGUCCAUAACUGGAUGUGAGAUUUUAUAAUAAAAAUUUCCAAGCACCUAGCUUGAAUGAAUAAACAAAUAAAUAAAUAAAUAAAAUGCUUGAAGGCAGAUUAUAAUGAAAUUUCAAAUUAACACCACCAAUAAAGGGAAAAUUCUAAAGCUUUCAGAGAGAGAAAAAGAAAAGGAUAACACAUGUGAAACCUGGAAUUAAAAUGGCAUUGAACUACUUAAAGCAACACUAGAAGUUAAAAGACAGUGCAGCAAUAUCUUCAAAGUUCUAAAGGAUUUCAACCUAAAAUAUUAUACCCAGCCAAAGUAUACAUCAACUGUGAUGGUGAUGGAAAAAUAAAGACAUUUUUAAGACGUGCCAAGCCUCAAAAUUCUACUUCUCAUUCUCCUUUCUUCAUGAAGCUUUUGAAGAAUGUGCUUCAUUUAAUGAAAGAGUGAACCAAAAGAGAGCAGGGCAUGACAACUGGAAAAAUAGGGGACACAGAACACAAGAGAGGUGAGGAGACUAUCCAAGAUUAUUGCAAUCAUAAGUAUCUGGACAAUAGACGUAACCUGGUCCAGAAAGCAACUGGUGAAACUAGAACAGGAUAAUAAAAGGGCUCCAAGAAGGAUGUCUUUAUUAAAGUAAAAUGUUGCAUAUGCAAAAAAUUAAAUUUAAUCAUAGCAUGCUACUUGUCUCAGCAGUAAAGAAUAUUUUUAUAAUCAUGGUGCCAGUGUUGAUUUUACCAAAAAUUAUAAUUUUAUUCUGGUGAGAGAAUUGUGAGAGGGUAUAUGGAAGUUGUUGGGAUAGGCAUGCUAAAUCCUCAUCCCCCAUCAUAUGAAGUCACUAACUUUGGUGACAAAACUGACAAAAAUGAGAGUAAGUAUAUAAGCACAUAAUUUUGAAAUAUGGAAGCAAAGAGAUAAACAAAGAGUUAAAAAAUAUCUGUCAUUAGAAGUUGGGCCCUGAAGAAAAGAAGGAAGGGCAAGUAUUUCCUGUCUUAUCUCAAGAGUUUUGUAGCUAUCUUUUAACUUUUAAAAUAUGUACUAGCAUUAGUUUGGUAAAAAUAAAUGUUUAAAAUCAACUAGAAUUACAAACAAACAAAGAUGUCUAACAAUGAACUUUAUCUCUUUGAAUACAAUAGGAUAUUAAAUCAUCUUUUAAAAAAUCAGUGUUUAAAUCAUUUUUAAUGACAAAAAAUCCUCAUGAGAAUAUAAAUUUUUAAAAAUUGGGGUACAAAAUAUAUUUGGCACGUAAUCCUAUGCUAAAAAAACUAGAAAGAAAUGCAUAUAUAAGCUGUUAUUAGCUCUUGGGAUGGAAUUAUAAGUGGUUAUUAUUUUAUUUUCUAUACUUUUCUAUAUUUCUAAGUUUUUACACAGUAAAUAUAUAUUACUUUUAUGAAAGAAAAAGAGUUAACUAUUUGUUUUAAGCACAUGGUGUUUCAUCAUCAAGAAAAUGCCUCUUCUUCUAUAAUUCUGCCAAGGACCAAACUAAAGAAAUUAGUUUAAAGUGCAGGAGGGGAGAUUCCAAUUAAGUACAUGUAUACAAGUGUGUUAUUAAAUUGUGAAACUGACUACCUGGGGAAGUCACACAAAAUAUUUUAAGUCAAGAUUAACCACCAUCUUGGAAUAUUAGUACUUGAAGGAAACACCAAGAUGACCAAUUCCAAGGCAAUUCUCCACAGAUGAGAAAAUUGAACCUUGAAGAGUUUAGAUAGCUGGCCUAAGGUCAUAAAGCUAUUAAGAGGAAGAGGCAUGGUUGGAAUGCCAGUCUCUUAAUAGCUUUGUGACCAGUGCCAUGUUUUUCCCACUCUUAUGAUGUGUCUGAACUCCAUAAAGUGCUCAACAUAAUUUAAAGGUCUGGGAUGGAUUUACAUAAACCCCAGUUCCUCAGGUCUGUUUCUUCUCUUGUUUCUACCCUAGUUCUUUUUAUUCUUUCUCUUAUGGCCUCUCUACAGAAUAUUAUAAAAUAAAAACAUAAGAUAUCAUCUAAGGUGUGCAUAUUUGCCUUAUUGUAUACCUAUGUUUUGCAGAAAUAUAUCUUCUCUUUGGUUAACAUCUUUCCCAAACAACCACUGCAAGCCUCUGCAAGCAGAUGGUCCUCAGCAAAUACAGUUGACCAAGGUUCUCUUUAUAUGUACAUCUCAUGCUUCUUUGAAAAAUCAAAUUCAACUAAGCCAGUUUUAAUUUUGUUUUGCUUUAUUCUGUUUAGAUAACUACAUUUAAGCAAAAUUUAUACUGAGGUGUUUUCUAUGUAACCUGUUAUUUUGGUGGAACACAAUCAGGUUUUUAGGUUUGGAAACUGGCUUGGGUUUGGAAAAGAAUGUUAAAACUGGUGACUGAUAAAAUGACAUUUGAUCCAACCAAUGGUUGGGAGAAUUCAUGAACAAAGUGCCACAUAAAUGAAUUUUCUUGAUUUCAAUCCAUUAGUUUGAUCUCUGGGAGUCCUACUCAAAGAUUUGGACUGGUGUGGAAGUAGAAGAAGCAAGAGUUUCCUUAAUGGUGACAGAGUAACAUCACAUUAAAAGAUAAAUGCAUUGGUUCCUGAAAAGCACACACCAAAAACUGCAUGGCCCUUCCUCUUUCUCCCACUCCAUCCUCCCUGUCUUCAUUCAUUAGUAAACAGCCAUUUAGUUAAUGUCUGCUAUGCCAGACACAGUGAUGGAUUUUGGCAACAACAAAGCAAACACUGUGUAUGCAGGAGGAUGACUCCCUUGUUCUCAAGGUACCUACAUUUCUUUAGUUCAUGCCUACCAAUAGUUGGUGCACAACAAUGGUAAAUUGUGAUAAUGGUUUCCUGCUUUUUAAAUAUAUAUGUAUCUCUAUAUGCACAAGGGAUCUUCAAAAUGUUCAUGGGAAAUGUGUAUUAUGAAGAAACUAUGCAUGGAUUUUAAGAUUUUUUGUACCAAAGUGAACCUGUACGAACUUGUUAUAACAUGUCUGAAUAGAAUCCAAUUUGAGGCACUAACAAGAAUAAAACCUCAAUUUGAAAACAGCCCCUAACAGAGCAGCAUGAAUUCUGCUAAAAUUUAAGCAAGAAAAAAAGAUCAAAUUGAUGUUAAAACUUGGGUGGAAAAAUAGUAAAAUCACUGAUGCUUUACAAAAAGCUUACAGAGGCAUAAGUAGUUUACAAAUAAAUAACUUGUUUUAAUAAAGGAUGAGACAAUGUUGAAGAUAAAGCCCAUAGCAGCAGACCAUCCACAUUGAUUUGUGAGAAAAACAUUAAUCUUAUUUGUGCCCUAAUUGAAAAGGACCAAUGAUUAAUAGCACAAAUAGUCAACACCAUAGAUAUCUCAAUUGGUUCAGCUCACAGAAUUUUGACUUAAAAAUUAAAGCUGAGCAAUCAUUUUACUUGAUGGGUGCCAAAGCUGUUGCACCAAGAUCAGCUGCAGACAAGAGUAGAGCUUUGGAUGCAAAUUUUAAACAAGUGGGAUCAAGAUCCUGAAGCAUUUCUUUGAAGAAUUGUAACUGGAGAUAGAACAUGGCUUUAUCAGUACGAGCCAGAUGAGAAAGCACAAUGAAAGCAAUGGCUACCAAGCGGUGGAAGUGAUCCAGUCAAAAGCUGACCAGUCAAGAGCAAAGCUUAUAGCAAAAGUUUUGGGGGAUGCUCGAGGCAUUUUGCUUGUUGACUUUCUGGUGGGACAAAGAAUGACAACAUCUGCUUAUUAUGAGAGUGCUUUGAGAAGCCAGCCAAAGCUUUAGCAGAAAAAUGCCCAGGAAAGUUUACUAGAGAGUCCUUCUUCACCACAACAAUAUUCCUGCUUGUUUCUCUCAUCAAACAAGGACAAUUUUGUGAAAGUUUCAACGGAAAAUCAUUAGGCAUCCCACUUUCAGUUCUGAUUUGGUUCCUUCUGACUUCUUUUUGUUUCCUAACCUUAGAAAAUCUUUAAAGGGCACCCAUUUUUCUCCAGUUAAUAAUGUAAAAAAUACUGCAUUGAUGUGAUUAAAUUCCCAGGGCCCUCAGUUCUCUAGGGGUGGACUAAAUGGCUGGUAUCAUCACUUACAAUUAUGUCUUGAAUUUGAUAGAAUUUAUGUUGAGAAAUAAAGAUCGUAUACUUUAUAUUUAUCUUUUAAUUCCAUUUUCCAUGAACUUUUUCAAGUUCUCUCAUAUAUAUAUAUACAUGUGUAUAUGUGACUACACAUAUAUAUAACUUUAUAUAUAUGUAUGUAUGUAUAACUAUUGUAUUAAAACACAAGCAAAAAGCCAUACAUAUAAGAAUAAAGUCAUAACAAUCAGGUGAACAGAGUGCAGUUGUCAAGGCUUUUGGGAACAGGGUUGGGGUCAUAGAGUUAGUGGCAGGGAAGGGAGCAAGGGGGAGAGAGGGGUGUUUAAAGUGUCUUAAUAUUUUGACAAGGCAAAGGUGACUUAAUAAAACAUAAUUUUUUUUUCCGGGAAGUACAAAGAACCAAAAUACAGUUUGUAUAACUUUAUUCUAAAAAUGAAUUUCUUUCUACUUUAACUUCUAUAACAAUGACAGUAGUUUUGAUACGACAGACAUCUUACAUCAGGGACAAUAUGUUAGGGGAAGGAUAGUACUGUGCCAUGCAGAGAAUAUGGGCUUGGGGUCUGGGAGCUUGGGUUUGGGUCCUGACUCUGCCUUUCCAGCUGUGUGGCCCUAGGCAGGUUCCUCACAUGUAACACGGGGUGGUUGUGAGGAUUGAAUGAGAGAUGUGUGGUAAGGCAGCCAGCACACCACUUAGCACAGAAAACUUCCCACUUAGUCACAAUCUUCCUCUGGUCUCAAAGACUUCGCCCACACUGUCUCUAUACCCUUUUGCUUCCAUCCAUAAGCUUCUAACAACUUCUUGGCAUUGGUUUAGUCUCACAAUGGACUGUCAGAUUGGUUGUAUAUGUAAUUUGUACAUUUUUUUCUGUCCUUGUGUUUUAUUUCCUUGACAUCCAUUUCAACUUACAAGCCCCAUUGUAUUUAAACUUGUUCAAUAGAUAAAAAUCAUUUAUUUAUUCAGUUUUUACUCUGUGUAAGACACUGUGGGAGAUAAAAGAUGGAUUAAAUAUAAACUAACUCUGCCUUCAAUGAGCUAUUAGUACAGACCAUUGUGUCCUCAUUGGGCCACUUUACAGGGAUAAAACCUAUCUGAAUGCUCUAAAGAUUCAGGGGAGGGAGACAUCAUUUCUGAACCAUUAAUCAUAAAGAGGCUUCAGAGUCCAGACCAUAGAUGAGUGGGUCUGGAAGAUUAGGUAAACAGGAGUAUCAGAUAUUGCAGCUGAAUUUUUUUAAAGUUUCAAUGAUAAUUAACAUGAGACAUGUUUAGAGAAUAUUCAAGGUCCACCAUGGCCAGAAUCUAGGAUCCAUAUACGAGGAUAGUGGGAGAUGUGCUAGGAGCCACAAAUGUGGCAAGAGAAUGAGCUGUUUUCUAUAGGUGAGUGGAAAGCUUAUAUGAUGAGAUUUUUCUUUACAACAAUCAAUUUACCCUUAGCAGGCAAUUUGGGUUGAAAAGGGAAGCUCCAGGAGGGGUGGAAAGUAUUUGGAAGACUACGCUAAUAGUCUGGGAUUACAGCAACAGGAGCUGAACUGGGGCACUAGGGUGAAAUGGAAAGGAAACAGAGGGAUGGAGAAUCCCAGACAUCACUCAGGAUGAACCAACAGAACUUGGCAACUGAUUCAUUUUGUAGAGCAUGUAUUUGUAUCAUCUGUGUAAGGGCACCCAUUAACUUCCCCAGCAAAAGUCCCUUUAGCCUAGCCUGUGAUUACUGACAGGGCCUCAAUUCAAGUCAUCCUCUUCUCUCUCCACCAAUAUAAUUGCAUGUAAUUAAAACUUGAUGUAACGUGGUUAGCCCAGAGCAGAUGGGUUAUUUCCCUGCCACCAGCAUGACAUCAGAAUUUGGUUAUGAUAGUUUGGAACUCCCCACAAAGGAAUCAGGUUAAACAUUCUGAACAAUGGCAUUGUUCCCUUGAGCCAGGAGACUACAGUCUCCUGUGUAGGAGAGCGUUUGAAUUGGUAGGCAUGUUGUUGGGGGGUGUGUAUGUGUGUGUGUGUGUGUGUGUGUGUAUGUGUAAAGGAAAGUUCAGUCACUUUUCUCAGGGGCAGGAUAGAGCCAGUGCUCCAGCCUGGUACUUUCAGACAUGGUUCCAUGACAAUUCCAAUAGAAAGCAGCCUCUUUUCACUGCUUUUGAGCUCUCUCCCCAAGAGGCAAGAUCCUUUCUGGAUCAAGUUAACACUGGAAAGGAGGCUUUGGAAAUAGGGCAAGAAGAGUAGUGAGAGAGAGGAAAAAAGGAGGAGAAUAGAGGCUAAGGCAGGCAGGAGGAGGGAUAGAGAACUAGAGAGGAAGAGAUGAAAGGAAAAAGAGAAGAGGGAGAGAGCACAGAGGUGGGAAAGGCAGAAAAUGCCGGCUUGAUCGGUAGAGGAACUGAUACAGGCUUGAAGUGGAGAGAAGCUGCCCAGGAAAUGCCUGAGACCUUAUGAAUGACAAGUGGUCACAGUCUACCACCUCUGCUCAUGUGAUCUCACCCCCUUGCUUUUAUUUUUAUUUCUUCACCCUGACUGCUUUGAUCUCUUCUUAUUUCUCCCUCUUUCCCCAUGCAUUUUUCUUGUCUUAUCUUCCUCCUUACCCAUGAUUUAGUCCUAGAAAAUCCAGGCUCUUUCUGCUUGGUCUAUGACUUGAGGUUUGGGCUAAAAUUGCUGCUGAAUACUGAGCCAAUGACUGAGCCCAAAGAAACCUCCAAGUCCUAGUCUCCCUCCCUCCUCACCACAUUGACCUUCUCCAAAGGCUGACUCUGCUCUGUGCAGCUUGAGUCACGUGGCUCAGAGGUAACCUUCCUGUCAGCAGAGCUGCCUUGGCCUUACCAAGUGUACACAUGUGCACUCUCACCUGUCUCUGACGUCCAGGCAGCCCUAGGCAUGGCUUUUCCCUUAGACAUUCCAAUAUAGUCUCCCUUAUUUCUAUACCUUCUUCUGAUAUAGGGACUAAUGCUCACAGUCUUUCAGGAAAAAUAAAUUGUUCUGCCACCUUCAUGGAUCAGGCCAGUGGGCAGAAGUUACGUGCCUCAGCCAGUGAUGCCUGGGCUAGUGAGCAGCAGACUUGCAGACAGAGCAUGUUCAUCAAUUUCAUGUUCAUUGCUAAGCCCAUGUUUGUCCCACAUAAAACGGACUCUUGUCAGAUAAUGUUAAUGGGAGUGGGAGAUAGGGAGGUUCAUCCCAAGGAGAGCAUGUGCUUUACUAAUGGAAGCACCAAUAUACGCAUGGCAUGCAUUUCUCUAUUGGCCCAUUCAUUUGUCAAAUAAACAUCUACUGAGUAUCUACCAUGCACCAAAAUAUGUGUCGGACACACUGAAUAUAAAAAUCAAUUGACAGAGUUCCCCGCCUUCAAGAAAUAACACAGUUUUAUAGGAUAGGCAGAUGUGAAAACAAAUUAUUAAAACACAGUGGAGAAGAAAAGUGAUGAAUUAUGAAGGCUAGAUGAUAGGUUAGCUCUUAGAGAAAGAGUGGCUUAUUGCCUAGCAUGAAGAAAGUGGACUCCAGGCAGAGAACAUAACCUAUAACAUACCAGAAGAUACAAGAGCCUGGGCUAUUUACACGUGAAGGACAAACUUAUUGUGGUUCUAUCACAAGGGUAUGUGUGUGGUUGAUGGAAAAUGUGUGUGGUUGAUGGAGAAGAGGAUAGAAAUCUAGAUAGGAACCAAGUUAUGAAAGGCCUUGUAUGCCGAAUUCAUUUGGGAUUUGUACUGGAGACAAUGGGUGUCACUGAAGAAUUAUGAAAUAUUAGAUGAUCACAUAAGAAAUCUCAAAUCUGGAAAUCACAACAGUCCAAGCAAUGGAAAUAGAAAAUAAAGUAAGUUAGAGCAUGAGUUGGUGAUCUUUUUCUGUAAAGAGUCAGAUAGUAAAUAUUCUAGGCUUCUUAGACCAUUUGUUCCCUGUUAUGACUAUUCAUCUCUGCCAUUGUAGCAUGAAGACAGCCAGAAGUAAGACAUUUUUAAAAAGUGAGCAUAGUUGUGUUCCAAUAAAAUUUUAUUUAUGAAAGCAGAGUGCAGGCUGGAUUUGGUUUAAAGACCAUAGUUUGCUGACUCCUGAGUAAGAAGAAUGUGUAAGAAUAGAAAAAAAAAAAAAGACUUAUAGGUGUUUCCUUGUGCUGGUGAAGAUGGCAGUACAGUGAUUGAAGUUCUCCCCUGCACUAGGAUGUGAGGUUAUGCUAUCAUUUCAUAUGUAAGCCUGCCUUGCCAGGGCGAAAGGAACACAUUUACUAGUGUUAUGAUCAAAGUUCCAUGACCAUGAAGCAGUCUGAAAACAAUGGGCUGGAGUUGAUUCAGGAAAUAAUUGAACUCAUCAGCCAAAGCAAUGGGACCAGCAACAUGGUCUGCCCACAGAAAGAAACAAACUCAGAUGAAAAACUGAGUUUCUAAAGAAGAGAGUUAAGGCUGCCACUCAAUGACUGGGUCUUUUGCAAGCAUUCGGAAUGAUAUUUCUAUACAGCCAUGGUUUCUGAAAAGCAUCUUUUUUGUUAAAUUAUUUUUUGUCUUUAUUAUAGAGAUGGGGUUUUGUCGUGUUGCCCAGGUUGGUCUCAAACUCCUGGGCUCAUGCAAUCCACCCUCUUCAGCCUCCCAAAGUGAUGGGAUCACAGGCAUGAGCCACCUCACCCAGCCUGAAAAGCACAUCCCAUAGUGCAGAGGAAACAGGAGGCAGGGCAAUGUCUUAUGUGUGCCUUAUAGCUAGUCAUAGCUUUUCACUGUAGCAGCAAUCCCAGGUCACCAGAGCAUCACUUUGCCAAUACAAGUCCUGGGACUUUCAAGGCUGUUGAUAUCCCCAGGGCUGUCUGAGUGAGGCCAGCCCCAUUGCUGGUGGGGACAGACUUCCGAGACCUAUUGCUGUCCAGCUAGAUCCUUCUGUGGUCGAGACCUCAGAGAAACAAGUAGGCAGCAAGUAGAUAGCACAGGCUCCUGGGUCAAAAGGGUGCUUGUUUGGAUCCAGUGUGGACUUAAUGAGAGUUAACCCCUCUGGUCUUCAGGUACCUCAUCUGUAAAUUGAGGAUUUUUUAAAGUGCCUUCCUUACAUGGUGUACAGAUUAAAUGAGAUCAUAUCCGAAAAGCAUUUAACACAGAAUCUUGCAUAUAUUAAAUGUUUAAUAAAUGUUAAGUAAGUAAUUUGCAUUCCUGUUUUUUUUUUUUUUACUUCCAUACCUCGUUUAAGAGAUCCUUGGGCCAUGAAGAUAGAAUGGGUU
rnacentral:lncRNA from 1 species